UUAGAAAUUAUUAGAAGGAAUGUGUUGACUGUUCUGUAUGUGACUGUAAUGAUUCAAACAUUCAAUGUAUUCUGUCACAGGAUACAAAGUUCAAAAAGUUCAACUAUUAAUUAUUUACACUCUGUUUAUAUUUAGAUUAAAGUCAAGGUAUCUGUGUUUUAUUAGAUCUCCGUUACAGGUGUGACAUGGAGGUAACAGCAGAGUUUUUUCUGCCGUAUAAAUUCUCCCACAGAAAGGCCAGUGUCUUCCUCCAGGCGUCUUCCUGAGCACGAGAAUGAGCCACCGUCUCCCCACCCCACAGAACCAC